GGAGUCAUGCACGGAAGCCACAGACUCACGCAGAUCGCAGACACGCACACAGACGGAGCCGCCACCGGCCACGGACUCAGAAUCACCACUCAUGGAGGCCCGGUGCCGAUUAAUGCGUCGGUUCAACCGAUUGCACUGUUCAUCAACAAUCAGCAGGCCAUCAUCCGAUGAGGCAUAGCCCCUAGGUAAUUUAUUCCUUGCAUCGUUUUUUAAUUUAAAUUAAUUAUUUCGGACUCUAGUACUCUAGGUACUUAUAGUAUGUUUUUCUUCUAAUUUAGGUGCUAGAAUCUUAGAUGUUACCUAAGAAACAUUUGUCGGGAGCUCAGAAAAGAAAACGGAAAAACUAGCAGAUCAAUUUGAGAUCAACUGUCACAAGAAAGGUUAAAUGAAUUGGCUAUGUGCACCAUGGAGAGGGAUAUCUUGGACAUCAUUGAUCUUAAUACCGUUCUUGAUGAUUUUGCGUCAAGAAAUGCCCGAAGAAGUAUCUUUUUAUGAGAAGCAAU
rnacentral:lncRNA from 1 species